GACGAACGCUGGCGGCGUGCCUAAUACAUGCAAGUCGAACGCAGUGGGGACGGGUGAGUAACACGUGGGUAACCUCCCAUCAGAGGGGAUAACACUUGGAAACAGGUGCUAAAACGAUACUGAUGGAUGGACCAGCGGUGCAUUAGCUCGUUGGUGAGGUAACGGCUCACCAAGGCAACGAUGCAUAGCCGACCUGAGAGGGUGAGCGGCCACACGGGGACUGAGACACGGCCCAGACUCCUACGGGAGUCAGUAUUGGGGAAUCUUCGGCAAUGGACGAAAGUCUGACCGAGCAACGCCGCGUGAGUGAAGAAGGUUUUCGGAUCGUAAAGCUCUGUUGUUGGAUAAGCGGUAUCCAACCAGAAAGCCACGGCUAACUACGUGCCAGCAGCCGCGGUAAUUC
rnacentral:rRNA from 1 species